GAUAAUGUGGCUUAGAUGGUAGAGUGCUUGUAUAGCACACACAAAGCCCUGGGUUCAAUUCUCAGCAUUUCA
rnacentral:tRNA from 1 species